AACGCGAAGAACCUUACCAAAUCUUGACAUCCCGAUGACAGGCUGUGUAAAGCAGCUUCUCUUCGGAGCAUCGGCGACAGGUGGUGCAUGGUUGUCGUCAGCUCGUGUCGUGAGAUGUUGGGUUAAGUCCCGCAACGAGCGCAACCCUUAUCUUUAGUAGCCAGCAUUUAAGGUGGGCACUCUAGAGAGACUGCCGGGGAUAACCCGGAGGAAGGUGGGGAUGAUGUCAAAUCAUCAUGCCCCUUAUGACCAGGGCUACACACGUGCUACAAUGGCGUAAACAAAGGGAAGCGACCCUGUGAAGGUAAGCAAAUCCCAAAAAUAACGUCUCAGUUCGGAUUGUAGUCUGCAACUCGACUACAUGAAGCUGGAAUCGCUAGUAAUCGCGAAUCAGAAUGUCGCGGUGAAUACGUUCCCGGGUCUUGUACACACGC
rnacentral:rRNA from 1 species